UACGAAGGGGGGCUAGCGUUGCUCGGAAUCACUGGGCGUAAAGCGCACGUAGGCGGCUUCUUAAGUCAGGGGUGAAAUCCUGGAGCUCAACUCCAGAACUGCCUUUGAUACUGGGGAGCUUGAGUCCGGGAGAGGUGAGUGGAACUGCGAGUGUAGAGGUGAAAUUCGUAGAUAUUCGCAAGAACACCAGUGGCGAAGGCGGCUCACUGGCCCGGUACUGACGCUGAGGUGCGAAAGCGUGGGGAGCAAACAGG
rnacentral:rRNA from 1 species